rnacentral:rRNA from 1 species
UGGGGAAUAUUGCACAAUGGGCGCAAGCCUGAUGCAGCGACGCCGCGUGCGGGAUGGAGGCCUUCGGGUUGUAAACCGCUUUUGUUCAAGGGCAAGGCACGGCUUCGGGCCGUGUUGAGUGGAUUGUUCGAAUAAGCACCGGCUAACUACGUGCCAGCAGCCGCGGUAAUACGUAGGGUGCGAGCGUUAUCCGGAUUUAUUGGGCGUAAAGGGCUCGUAGGCGGUUCGUCGCGUCCGGUGUGAAAGUCCAUCGCCUAACGGUGGAUCUGCGGCGGGUACGGGCGGGGUGGAGUGCGGUAGGGGAGACUGGAAUUCCCGGUGUAACGGUGGAAUGUGUAGAUAUCGGGAAGAACACCAAUGGCGAAGGCAGGUCUCUGGGCCGGUACUGACGCUGAGGAGCGAAAGCGUGGGGAGCGAACAGG